rfam:Neotoma lepida isolate 417 scaffold_179, whole genome shotgun sequence.
GCCUGGCUAGCUCAGUCAGUAGAGCAUGAGACUCUUAAUCUCAGGGUCGUGGGUUCAUGCCCCACAUUGAGCA